rnacentral:rRNA from 1 species
AGAGCGAACGCUGGCGGCAGGCCUAACACAUGCAAGUCGAGCGCCCGUAGCAAUACGGGAGCGGCAGACGGGAUAGUAACACGUGGGAACGCGCCCUUCGGUUCGGAAUAACUCAGGGAAACUUGAGCUAAUACCGGAUACGCCCUUACGGGGAAAGAUUUAUUGCCGAAGGAACGGCCCGCGUCCGAUUAGCUAGUUGGUGAGGUAAUGGCUCACCAAGGCGACGAUCGGUAGCUGGUCUGAGAGGAUGACCAGCAUCACUGGGACUGAGACACGGCCCAGACUCCUUCGGGAGGCAGCAGUGGGAAUAUGGACAAUGGGCGAAAGCCUGAUCCAGCCAUGCCGCGUGAAUGAUGAAGGCCUUAGGGUUGUAAAGUUCUUUUGCCAGGGAAGAUAAUGACGGUACCUGGAGAAUAAGCACCGGCUAACUUCGUGCCAGCAGCCGC